ensembl:snRNA U6 U6 spliceosomal RNA
GUGCUUGCUUUGGCAGUAUUUGUACUAAAAUAGAAAUGAUACAGAGAAAGAUUAGCAUGGUCCAUGUGCAAGGACAACAUGCAAAUUUUUGUAGUAUUCCAUGAGAUAAUAUUUUU